rnacentral:tRNA from 3 species
GCCUUGGUAGCUCAGUUGGAUAGAGCAACGGUUUUCUAAACCGUGGGUCAGGGGUUCGAAUCCCUUCCAGGGUACAA